GGGUAUACGAGGUGUCUCAAAUUUCUACUCGACUACGGAUAUGACAGAACUAUCAAAGACUAUGAAGGACUAACUCCAGCUGACGUAGCGAGAAAAAAUGGACAUAGAAAUAUUGCCAAAUUGAUUGAAACCUAUACAGCGGUUCCACCAACUCCGCCUCCAAAAGAAGUCAAAUCGGGAGACAAACAGGUCUUAGAAAGAGUAAUCCAAUUUUUAUUCGAUAAGAAGAAACCAGAAGAACCAGAUGAAUCAGACGAAAACAACAUGAAUAGAAUGGAUUUAAUUUCUUUUUAAACGAUGCAAAAGAUAAAUACUAAUGAGCGAUAGAGUAUGAAAUUUAUUUAAAAAGGGGACAAUUUUCGUUUCAAUGUGGUCAUUGUACGCGAUACAAAACACCAAUCUACGUUGAAAAUGACUUCCUUCCUUUUCAAUACACAGACAUUUGGCUGCAUCUAAUAUAGAAUACCAAGAGCGAUGUAACAAGUAGUGAAAGAGAGAGAGAAUGGUUUAUGUGAAAUUUUCUGCUUACUCAAAUACACAUCUAAAAUUAAGCUUGAAAUGUAAUUUAGAGGUUUUAUUUUGGGUGGUGUGUGUGCGUGCGGUGGAAAUUUAUUGUAAUGUGAGAGCAAAAUGCGAUAACGUUACGAUAUGUGUAUCAUACACAUAUCGGGUGUGAAGGUACAAGGUUUUUUCCGCCGACACAGAACGAGAAUUCGGUUUCGAACGCAACAAAAUAGGAUUAAAAUUAAAUAUUUUUGGAGGAAUUAUUGCGUCGGAAUUGUUUUGUGUGGUGUUGUUCGUGCCAUCUCUCGUGUAGUGCGUGUGUUGGUAUUUUAAAUUAAAUUCUUUGCAACUGAUUACAAGAGCGGAACCUUUAUCGUAUACUUUGUCGCAAUAUAAUAUUUCGUUAUUAUUAUCGAGCAUUCACAUGUGUAUAGGGAACAUUUCAAAGGCGACUGGUGUAUUCAAGACUUGGUCUGUGUAUUGGUAAUGCAAUUUUCUUUAGCCAAUGAACAAAAGCGUCGCAUUUAGUAAGCUUACUUUCACUCUCCCACUCACUCGUUCAAUUUCUCUCUCUUUCACUGUACCUCUCGCUUUUGCUCUCCCCCUCUCUCUCUCUCUCUCUCUCACACACACACACACACUCUCUGCUACUUGUGACUUAUUCUUUCUGACAAUGAGCCAAAUUAACGUUUGUUUGCCAUUGAAAAUAUUUACGUUUUCAGUUUUGCAUGGAAAACGGACGGCAAAAAUUGAGCGGGAAAAACAUUCUAUUGGACAUUGGAUUAUGAAAAUGGUUUGAGAAUGUGAACAUAAUCUAAAAUUUGGUAAGCAUUUCCAUUUCAUACGGUCGAUUUGCAGUCAAAUGGCCAUGGCUCAAGCGUCUAAAUGUUUGGAUUGAAAGUUGAUUCAAAUGCACAGAAAGGCAAGACAUACAAUAAAAUAAUGAGAUUUUCUCAUGGCAUACAAUUUGUCAUGCGAACAACCAACAUUUUCGAAGGAAGAAGCAAUACAAUAUUUGGCCGGCGGGGAAUCGGACCAAAGCCGCACUGGGAUAGGGAAAAAAGGGUCAAAAGCCUUUUUGCGACACCAACAAAUUUCAUUGAGUUUAAUUACUUCAAUAAAUAAAAUGUUGGAAAUUCGGCUUUAGAAUUUUAAUAGAAUCCAUUUGACUCCUCCAAUGCCAGCGCUCGGUGCACAGCAACAACAACAGAUCAACGAAUGAAAUGAAUUUUGUCAUUUUGAUUGUUGAAAAUGUUUCAGCAAGUUGAUGAAGCGACAAAACAGUUGGAAUUUCUCACAUUCUCGAGACGUUCAUCAUUAUCAUUACUGUGGACUUAUCGAUUUAAGUCUGCCUUCGAGUCGGAUUCACACUAAAACUUUUCGAUAACAUUUUACUUGUUCGUUUGCGAGUAGUUUUAAUGAAAAUAUUCGUCUGUUGUUGAGCUUGAAUGAAAAACUUGCGCUUCAUUUCAUCGUCGACGAUGUCACCGCAACAACAACAACAUUCGCUACUCGCAACAAUGUGCGGUAAAUUGAUAAAUUCUCUCUCCCUCGCGUCACGUUUGAACUAUUACACCGGGGUUUUUUAGGUGAAAAAUUAAACGGAUGCCACGCUGGUUUGCCAAAACUCGAUGUGGCUGCGAUAAAAUCCGAUAUCCACCACAAAAAGAUGCCGUAUAUUAAAAUAAAGCUCGAUAAAAGAAAAAAAAAAACGUACACACAUAGGGAUAGAAAAAUACCGGCACACCCUCCUCAUCGUGAAUUUAUCUGGUAACCAAAAGUUUUCUAAUAAAAUGUCUGUUUUUUCGGCUUUUUUCGGUGAAAGUGAUUAAAUUAAAGAUUACAACACUUGUGUUCGCUCUCGUCAACCAGAGUGAAUUUGAGUUGAUACAGAGAACAUGUACACCAUUCCACACAAUACCGAACACAAUUCAUUGACAAAGAAGCGAAGAACGAUGAAAUGGCUGUGAUGUGAGUGAGUGCUGUGGAUUCUUAUCUUCGGUGCCAUUUUACAGAAUUUCCCGAGAUGAGUGAAUGUGUUUGUGUUUGUGUGUUUUUUUCAUCUUUUCGGUUAAUUACAUGACAAGCUAAUUUGUGCCAUAAACUUGAUGAUUUUCUGAAAGAGUCGCAGCAGCAUCACGUGGUGUAUGUGUGUGCGUCAUUUUUAAAGCGAUAAUUUUUUUUUGAAAAGACUCCAGAGCACAAAAGCGGAGUAUAUACGUGCCAAUGAAAUUCUUGGGUGCCAGUUUGACACGUACAUCAGAUACAAGUUUUUGCAAUGGAGUAGCAACAACAAUAAAAACAACAACAGCAGCAGUGGCAGCAACAGCGGUGGCAUCAUUUGAUGUGCACAAAUAAUAGUAAAAGGAAAAUCACAUAAAGCACAAAGAAUGUGGGAGAGAAAAAUGCGAAGAAUGGAUAAAAGAAGGGAAAAAAAGCGAAAUGGAGAAGUGGUUCAGGUAGGAAACAACAGUUUGUGAGUAAAAAUGGCAAGCUGAAAAUGAAGAAGAAUGUUAGUUACGAAAGCGGAGCGAACGAGAAAAAAAACACAUCCAGUUUUCUAUAAUAUUAUAUUUUUCCACAACAUAACACUCAAAAGGAGCUCAAUUAACUAACCUCCUGCUUUAUCAUUGCCUAUAUCUUAUUUCAGGGAUUUCUUGGUGGUGCUGCUCGGUAUUGAGCCAUUUUGAACGCAUGCACACACCGAGAGAGAGAGAGAGAGAGAGAGACAGUGAAUGUGGGAGAGACAAAGAAAGACAUCGAAACAGCGAACAGACGUCGUUCACCUUCCCUCGUUGUUUAUCUUAUUUGUUGGCAUUAGCUUUUUCUGCUAACGCAAGCAAAAGAAACGAAAAGUUGUGAAUUAAUAUUGGAGUAAAUCAUUUUGAAGAGAAACAUCGAGAAAAAUUUCUUCGCAUAGAUGAUGGUUCGGUUCCACCGACAACCGAAUAAAUGGCAAAUGAAGCUGCAGACGAGGGGAUAUAUCUAUGCAACGCACGAUACUAGCAAACUACUUGUAUCGAGAGAACAAAAG